GACGAACGCUGGCGGCGUGCUUAACACAUGCAAGUCGAGCGGUAAGGCCCUUCGGGGUACACGAGCGGCGAACGGGUGAGUAACACGUGGGUGACCUGCCUCUAGCUCUGGGAUAAGCCUGGGAAACUGGGUCUAAUACCGGAUAUGACUCCACGGCGCAUGUUGUGGGGUGGAAAGCCUUGUGUGGCUAGAGAUGGGCCCGCGGCCUAUCAGCUUGUUGGUGGGGUGAUGGCCUACCAAGGCGACGACGGGUAGCCGGCCUGAGAGGGCGACCGGCCACACUGGGACUGAGACACGGCCCAGACUCCUACGGGAGGCAGCAGUGGGGAAUCUUGCGCAAUGGGCGAAAGCCUGACGCAGCGACGCCGCGUGAGGGA
rnacentral:rRNA from 1 species